CUGUAAGCCUGUGAAGGUGUGUCGUGAGGCAUGCUGGAGGUAUCAGAAGUGCGAAUGCUGACAUAAGUAACGAUAAAGCGGGUGAAAAGCCCGCUCGCCGGAAGACCAAGGGUUCCUGUCCAACGUUAAUCGGGGCAGGGUGAGUCGACCCCUAAGGCGAGGCCGAAAGGCGUAGUCGAUGGGAAACGGGUUAAUAUUCCCGUACUUGGUGUUACUGCGAAGGGGGGACGGAGAAGGCUAUGUUGGCCGGGCGACGGUUGUCCCGGUUUAAGCGUGUAGGUGUGUGUUCCAGGUAAAUCCGGUU
rnacentral:rRNA from 1 species